UACGUAGGGUGCGAGCGUUGCCCGGAUUUAUUGGGCGUAAAGGGCGCGUAGGCGGCCACGCACGUCCGUUGUGAAAUCGCUCGGCUCAACUGGGCGGGGUCAGCGGAUACGGAGUGGCUGGAGCAAGCUAGGGGGCAAUGGAAUUCCCGGUGUAGUGGUGGAAUGCGUAGAUAUCGGGAGUAACACCAGUGGCGAAGGCGGUUGCCUGGAGCUUUGCUGACGCUGAUGCGCGAAAGCGUGGGGAGCGAUCCGG
rnacentral:rRNA from 1 species